rnacentral:rRNA from 1 species
UACGUAGGGGGCAAGCGUUAACCGGAUUUAUUGGGCGUAAAGAGCUUGUAGGUGGUUCGGUAAGUCGGAUGUGAAAUCUCCAGGCUCAACCUUGAGGGGUCAUUCGAUACUGCCGUGACUAGAGUUCGGUAGGGGAGUGUGGAAUUCCUGGUGGAGCGGUGAAAUGCGCAGAUAUCAGGAGGAACACCGGUAGCGAAGGCGGCCCUCUGGGCCGAUACUGACACUGAGGAGCGAAAGCGUGGGGAGCGAACAGG